GUGGCCUACGGGGGGCAGCAGUGAGGAAUAUUGGUCAAUGGGCGGGAGCCUGAACCAGCCAAGUCGCGUGAGGGAAGACGGUCCUAUGGAUUGUAAACCUCUUUAGGCGGGGAGCAAUGCCGGGCACGCGUGUCCGGAGGGAGAGUACCCGCAGAAUAAGCAUCGGCUAACUCCGUGCCAGCAGCCGCGGUAAUACGGAGGAUGCGAGCGUUAUCCGGAUUUAUUGGGUUUAAAGGGUGCGUAGGCGGGUCUUUAAGUAAGCGGUAAAAUGUCCGGGCUCAAACCG
rnacentral:rRNA from 1 species